AUGGAGUUUUUCAACUCAUUUCUAUUGUAUUUAUUUAGUUUUUAUGUAAAUUUUAGGGUGAAUAAUUCAUGAUUUUAGAUAAAUUGUGGGUGUUUGAAUUUGCAGUAAAUAAUUUUAUUUAUUUAGGUAACUAAGAAAUGGUUAAAUUUAAAAUGUAGACAAAGCUUGUGCCAGCAGUUGCGGUUAAACCAGCUAUAUAACAAUAGAUUUUUAGUUUUAGAUAAAUUAUUUGGAGAAUCGAAAAUUAGGUUUAUAAGGUGGAAUUUUAAAUUUAGGAUAGAUUUAUAGAUUAAAAGGUUGGAUCUAAAAAAAUUUUGUUUUAAACUAGGAUUAGAUACCCUAUUAUAUUAGAGGUAAAAUAUUUGGACUAAAUUAGUAUUAGUUAUGAUCUUGAAAAUUAAGGAAAUUGGCGGUAUUUUAGUCUAUUCAGAGGAACCUGUCCUGUAAUUGAUAGUCCACGAUUUGAUUUACUUAAUUUAAAAGUUUACAUAUCGUCGUAGAUUGAAUAUUUUUAUAGAAUUUUAAUAUUCAGAAUUUAUUUUAUGAAGAAAAUCAGAUCAAGGUGUAGUUAAUAAUUAAGAAGAGAUGGGUUACAAUAGGUUUAUUUAAACGGAUGUAAGAUUUAAGAAGUUUUAUUGAAGGUGGAUUUGAAAGUAAUUAUGUAUAUAUUUAUAUAAUGAUUUAAGCUCUAGGAUAUGUACAUAUCGCCCGUCGCUUUCACUUUAAAGUGAAAUAAGUCGUAACAAAGUAGAUGUACUGGAAAGUGUCUCUAGAAAGAC
rnacentral:ncRNA from 1 species